GCGAAAGUGGCGGAGUUGGUAGACGCGCUGGAUUUAGGUUCCAGUCCCGUAAGGGGUGGGAGUUCGAGUCUCCCCUUUCGCACCA
rnacentral:tRNA from 1 species